rnacentral:lncRNA from 1 species
UCGAACCUGAAUUAGAACUAGUUAAAUCGAACAUCAACAUAAUGCUUAAUGAACAAGUGAGAAAAAAACAAUUUCAUCUUCUUAAAUUCUUCAGUGAAUUUUCUCUAUUUUAUACAGCAUCAUUAGAUGUGUUUUUGCUGUAAUACAGGGAAAAUGACCGCAUCCAGAUGUACGGGAUCAUCUUUGAACCAAAACCCAGUUGAAGAAUAACCCAUGGUUGCUAGAGAAAGUAUCAGAAAUCUGCUUAGAUGAUGGCCUAAAUAAACCCAAGGGCAGAACAUCGAGCCCCUGUUUGGUCCCCAUUCUCUUUCUCAUUCUUUUUCUCUUUCUUAUUCUCAAUCACACAAUCUUCUAUAAAAUAAUACCACACGCAAAUAAAAAACUUUUCAUUCUUUUUGAACCACACAUUUUUUAAAAAAAAUACUAUUCCAAACAUUAAAAUUUGGAAAGAAUGGGGGCCAAACGGAGGCCAAAUGAAAGAAUUUAAUGAUUUUUGACUGCUAGUAAUAGUUCUUCUGGUAGAUUGAACAUUAGAACAUGAACGUGCAUAACAGAUGUAGAUUGCAUAAUUCUUAUUGUCAUGGAAACUGCUAUGCUAUCUUGAUUGAAUGUAAAUGUUUAUACAAAAACAUGUUUGGAUUGAAACACACCUUUGGUAAUUAGUACUUUCUUUCUUUUCUCUGUUUGG